rnacentral:ncRNA from 2 species
UCCAUUUAGUCGGGGUGCUGUGAAAACAGCUGAGAUAAUACCCGUGAACCUGAUACAGCUAAUACUGACGUAGGAAACUAAUAGAAAACUUAA